CUCAUGGUGGAGGGUUAUUUCUAAUAUUUAAAGCAAAAUCAUUCCCCGGUAAAAACCUGACCUAUCUUGGACCCUUACCUAUUUGGAUAGCAACAUCUCAUCCCACUCCUGCAGUCUGACCUUUAACCUAGAAAAAGACUCGGACACUCCUUUGAUGGCCCACUCCGUCGACCUCAUUUCAAAUAGACGCUUUGAGAAAACCCCAAAUUAUAUUGAAAUAAAUACAAACUAUGGCUAUCUCUUGCGCUGGAAGUUCUCUCGCGAACGUCAACCACUCGAUAAAUCAUUAACAACAUUCUACUACUAGCUGUUCUUAAGAACGUUAAUAUCCCAUCCACUCUUGGUUCAGCAAGUCUUUCAAAUGAUAUCGCUAUAAUCCUGGGUUGUAUAUCUCUUAUUCUUUAGGGCAAACGGUUUCCCACUGACCGAUCUUGUAGCAAAGUCUAACCUCACAUCUUUUGCCAUCAAAAAGACAAUAGUCGUUAAAAUAAAAUACGCUGGCCCCACGAACCAAUUCUUUAUAUCAAUAGCACCAACACGUUAGGAAUGUUCGGAAAGGAGGCUCUAAAUCUUAUCAAAGCUAUUGGCAAUGUGAACGCUUUUUGCAUCUUGUCAUCUUGCUGGUGCCAUUUUCCGUGAGGAACUAAUAUUCCCUCUAAAACGCAGAACUGUCCAUAGGCUUAUCAAUGUGAACGCUAUUUGUAACUUAUCAUCUUGUUGAUUCCAUUUUCCGCGAGGAGCUAUUAUUCUCUCUAUAACGCAAGACUGUCCAUAGGCUUAUUCAACUCCACCCAUAUGCCAUCUUGGAUAUGAAUGGUUAGAAACUAUCCCUAGCUCUAAUCUAGGCCUACUACUUACCAACGAAGAACUCAGAAUAGCUAUAGGCCUUCGCUUAGGCUGCGAUAUCGUAACCCCUACGACUUGUGUCCUAUGUGAAUCUCACAUUGAUAGUCUAGGACACCACCCCCUACACUGUCGUUUCUCAAAAGGGAGACUUCCUAGACAUUAUGCCAUUAAUUCUAUAAUCAAUAGAACGCUGAGAUCUACAAAUACUCCCUCCACACUGGAACCUACCUGUCUUAGCUCCGAUAAUCAAACCAGACCGGAUGGUUUGACGUUAGUCCCUUGGAACCAAGGUUUACCUCUCGCUUGGGACUAUACCUGCGUUGAUCGUUUUGCCAGAUCUUUUUAUGCCAACUCCAUCUCAAAAGCGGAGAAUACAAAAACAAAUAAAUAUUGCCACCUUAAUAAUAUUUUAUUCGCUCCGGUAGUCUCAGACACCUGUGGAUCAUUCGGACCCCAAGCCUUAAAAUUAUUCAAAACAAUAGGGCAAAGGUUACGAUUAGUCACAGGUGAUCCGAAAGAAGGUUUCUACCUCCGCCAAAGGAUUUCAAUCGAAAUCUGCCGUUCAAACUGUAUAUCCAUUCAUGGGUUAUUUAAGCCCCGUGGACCACACCUAAUUAGAUAUCCCUCAUUUUUUUUUUUAAAUAAUUUUUUAAUUUUUUUUUUUUCUUAA